AAAUUUGAGAGAGUUGUGAACAAAAGUCUCCUCUGUGGUGCGUCAUAAUUCACCAGACAUUUCGAUUUCCUUGACGAGGAUUUUAAAGUGGAUGUAAAAUCUGCUCAAAAUCUCUUUUCCGAUCUGGUCUGGAUGGUGCGCAUUUUCGGCUGUGGCGGCUGAAAUGAGAUUCGGUUGCAUUCUGGAAAUGACUUCCGUCGGGUUACUCGUCGCCGCCGUAGGAUCGCACCGCAACAUCAGCGCAAUCAAAGAAGCGGAAUGAAUGAAAGCAGCAAAGCACGGAGCGCAAAGACAUAAAGAAGAGGAGGAGGAGGAGGAGGAGGAGGAAGAGCGAGGGAGCGUUGCUUUUCAAGAGCAAAGCCGAGAACAAAAGGCCUCUUUGUGUUGCAGUGGCGAGCGCGGUGAAGUGGAGCCAGCGCUUUGGGAGUGUUUAACAGUGUGCACCGACUGCAUUCCUGCCGUGUGAUUACAAGACGCUUUUAAUUUCCACUCAGGAAACCCGGCGACUUAACUCUUAGCGCGCCGCGCAUUCUCUCGCGCUCUCUCCGCAUCGCCGGCCGAUUGGCUUUUUCCGCUCGGCGCGGCCGCGGCCCGCGCGCCGACGGCGAAAGUGCGCACGCCGACGAUAGGCGCACCGUCGACGCGGUCCGACGAUUGCCGGUCGCUUUCUCCAAAACGCUUUUGUGUCAUUUGAAAACGCCGCAAAACAACGUCGGCCUUGAAAAUGAAAAGGCCCGACAAGAUGAUUCGAUUUGGAAAAUCACAUGAAUGUUGUCACUUUGCAAGCUGAAAAAGUAGCAUGUGACUAUCGCUUAGGAUUUUCCUGUUCGCCAUGCCUGUCCUCCAACUACCAUCUCGCAAAACCUGAGAGAAUGACCCAACCACGACUGGACCCCGCGGGACCAGAGGCCUGGUCCCACUGCCACCCGUUCCUGUUCCCGGCGACGCAAGUGUUGCGGUCGCCCCCCGUUCCUGUUCCCGGCGACGCAAGUGUUGCGGUCGCCCCCCGUUCCUGUUCCCGGCGACGCAAGUGUUGCGGUCGCCCCCCCGUUCCUGUUCCCGGCGACGCAAGUGUUGCCAUCGCCCCCCGUUCCUGUUCCCGGUGCCGUAAGUGUUGCGGUCACCCCCCGUUCCUGUUCCCGGCGACAUAAGUGCUGCGGUCGCCCCCCCGUUCCUGUUCCCGGCGACGCAAGUGUUGCGCUCGCCCCCCGUUCCUGUUCCCGGCGACGCAAGUCUUGCGGUCGCCUCCCGUUCCUGUUCCCGGAGCCGCAAGUGUUGCGGUCGCCCCCCGUUCCUGUUCCCGGCGACGCAAGCGUUGCGGUUGCCCCCCGUUCCUGUUCCCGGCGACGCAAGCGUUGCGUGACAUUUACAACAUUUCAGACUCUGAAACGUAAUUUUUUUUUCCAAAUACAUUAGCCGUGCACCAAUCAAUGGAUGAAUCAACAAUUCAUUGAUGAUCAAAUUCAUCUGCAGCUAUUUUGGUCCUUGAUUUAUUGUUUAGAAACAUUGUUUUACUUUGUACUUUGACUAAAAAAAAAAAAAACGGAAAAAAAUAUUUUUGGAGCCCUUCUCAAAAGUAGAUUUUAGUUUUAGUUUUAUCCAAUUCGGCUUUGUCCGAACCGUAUUGCGUCGUAUCACUGGCAAUGUGCUGAAACUUUCUCUCAUUUACAGCACUUGGGGUUCACUGUCAUUCCCCCCCCCCCCCACCUUACCCGCUUUUUUUCUCCACUCUGCCACCCACCCACAGUAUCCAUGAAUACAGGCGAAAAGAUAAAAGUGUCAUUUGUCAACGCUCUAAAUCCGUCCCGCUCUUUUCUGUGCCGUCGUCUCAGCACAUCGCUCGCUCCAAUAAUGAGGCUUGGCAUUGUCCAAACGAGAAAAAAAAAAAAUUUAAAUCAAUUCCAGGGUGGCCCAAGAAAUACAAGACAUGAAAAGUUUCUGAAAAGUGAAAAAAAAGGAAAAAG